GAGUGGAUAGUUCAAUGGUAGAACAUCUGUCUCCAAAACAGAAGAUAUCAGUUCAAGUCUGAUUCCGCUCACCA
rnacentral:tRNA from 1 species